GAUGAACGCUGGCGGCGUGCCUAAUACAUGCAAGUCGAGCGAACGGACGAGAAGCUUGCUUUUCUGAUGUUAGCGGCGGACGGGUGAGUAACACGUGGAUAACCUACCUAUAAGACUGGGAUAACUUCGGGAAACCGGAGCUAAUACCGGAUAAUAUUUUGAACCGCAUGGUUCAAAAGUGAAAGACGGUCUUGCUGUCACUUAUAGAUGGAUCCGCGCUGCAUUAGCUAGUUGGUAAGGUAACGGCUUACCAAGGCAACGAUGCAUAGCCGACCUGAGAGGGUGAUCGGCCACACUGGAACUGAGACACGGUCCAGACUCCUACGGGAGGCAGCAGUAGGGAAUCUUCCGCAAUGGGCGAAAGCCUGACGGAGCAACGCCACGUGAGUGAUGAAGGUCUUCGGAUCGUAAAACUCUGUUAUUAGGGAAGAACAUAUGUGUAAGUAACUGUGCACAUCUUGACGGUACCUAAUCAGAAAGCCACGGCUAACCACGUG
rnacentral:rRNA from 1 species